GUAUCUUAUCUUCUUCUUCUCCUUCUUUUCUUUUCCUACUUCUUUCUUCUUCUUCAGUUCGAUUCCGAGUGAUGAAAUUGCGAGUUAAUUUGAUUGAAUAAACUAUUGAAGCUCGUAGAUGAAACUAGAGCUGUUAUCUGUGAAUUAUGAAGGAUAUUUUGCUGCUGCGAAUCAUGAAAAAUUAGAAAAAUGGGAAUAAAUGUUGAUACUGUGAAUUGAUGUGGGUUUGCUGCCGAGAUUUAAAGCUGAAGAUGAUAAGUGCUCGUUUAUGAUUCGAGAGCCUUAGGAGAGACUGAGAAGAUGGAACAAGUAGUGCUGAGAGAUGGGUUUGAUGUUCUGCAACAGAAGCUACAAAAGGGUUUGAUUCAACAAGAGAGAAGGAAUGAUUGGUUAUAUUGGUGCCUGGCUGUGUUGGUGGAACUGUUGAAGGUGGUUGUGCUACUGCAGUGGUGAAAUUGAAGUUGUAAUGGUGUCAAUGGAUAUGUGUUGCAGGACAGAGUUAGCAAGGAAAAUUAAGUUGGUUUUGCUGCCUUUAUGGUAAUGAUGAAUUAUAGAUGCUGGUGAAUCAGGGACCGAGUCCGAAGAACAAAGAAAAAAAGAAGACCAAUAUUGGAAGGGAUGAUUGAGAGAUUGAGCUAGAAGAUGUCACAAUGAUAAUGGGUUUACAUCAACAUGGUCCGUGGUUAUAGAGAUGAUGUUGCGAAUAUAUGGGAGAUGGACGCUGUAGUGAUUUGGGUAUGGCUGUAGUCGUGUCGUGACCGUUCGAUGUUCUCAGGAUAAUUAAAUAAGAGAUGUUGUGUUAAACAAUUUUAUUUUUGGGGGCCUGGUAGUGAAUACAAAAUAACUUAAGGGGUGUAAAAAAAUAAACAAGUCAAUAGUUAGACACAUCAUCGUGUAACCGAGUCAACACGGGUCAACGUUGGUCUUUAGACCAAACGCAAAGCCUGGACAAAUGUUAGAUUAAACCCAGGUUUUGGUCAAAAAGUAAGUACCAAAUAACCCAAAUAUUUGUAAUUUUGGUUGUUAUUUGUCUCAUAUAGAACCGAAAAAUAUUGACGAAGCUCUUAAUGAUUCCUCUUGGGUGAAUGCAA